CUGCCGAGCUGGCCCUUCUGGAAACGCAGACACCAGCGAGGCCCCUGUAGGUAAAGAAAGGACAGCAGGGCCCCUCUUGCCAGUCUGGCACCAGCCUGUUGCCUGGGAAUGUUCUGGAUGAAAGGCUCAGACCCCGAUCCCCCGGGGCCCCUGCAGAUCACGCCUUGGGAACCCUGCUGAAGCCUGGGCUCCACCUUUGUCCCUUGUCGACUAACGAGACCCUCAGAAGUCUGGGGGCCUGUCAUUUUAAGUCUGGGGAUGUCCUCGUAGGAGAUUUGGAGAAACUUCCAGAAGAACUAUAUCAGCCCAUUACAGUGGAGUGAAGGAAUCCUGGGCACCCCAACUCAGGUGGUCGGCUCUCUCUGAGGUGUAGGAAAGAGACGGAGAUACUGUUCAGAUGAGGAAAUCUGUAGUCCAACAUAAAAACAUAGCUUACCUAAGGUCACAGAGCUUGGCAGCACAGGGAUCCCAGAUCUCAGAUUCCAAAGAUGACGUCGUUUCUCUCUGAGUUCUUCCACGUCCACUGGCUACAGGGACUUGGGCCGGCAGAAUCUCUGAUGUCAACGCUGAACACACCUGGUCCAGCACUCUUAUGUACCCAGAAACAAAUGGAUGUCACUUGUGUCCUUUGCUGGGCUGCAUGCUGCUGGCUGGCCCUCUUUCUUGACAUCAUUCCACAGGUCUCAUGGCUGGCCAGGCUGUUCUCCAUGCCCUUCAAGUCAUCAGUGUCGUGAAAAUGAGACUUCUUUAUUUCUUUGCCAUAAGACCUCCCCCUGGUAGGUGAUACCUCGAUGCUCUUUCAAACCAACCUAUUACCUUUUGUACUAUUUUUCUUUUUUUAAAUUAUGUAAUUUUUUUUACAUACAUGGCAAUACUGGAAUGCAUUACACUCAUUAUUACCCAUUUACAGCACAAUUAUGUACUAUUUCUCUAAAAUUCUGUGACCACUGAUCGGAGUGACUGGGUGGUCACUUCAGAAUUUGGUAUGUGUGUGAUGAAACUGGUCUAUUCCCAAUGUUACGAUUUACCUCCUAUCUGUACCAGAUACCUCCAUUUAAAACAGUAUCUUUAGUCAUGGAAGCUGAGCGUCAGAACUGACUUCUUAAAGAAAUGCUUGGUGAUGAGACAGCCCUUAGGAGUACUUGCUAAUAGAGAGCACAUGUUUGGUUUUUUUCCAGAACCAGGGUUUCUGCUCCCUGGUUUCUCCAAGAAGCUGCUUCUCCUGACUCUAUUAGCCACAGGCUCCAACCAACACUAAUGGGCUAAGUAAUUCGACUUCCCUCCGAUGAAGAGUAGCAGAGUUUCCUGAGAGAAACCUUGAGUGAGAGUCGAAAAGAAGAGAGAGCAAAGAACAGAAAAAAAAAAAAAAAGG